rnacentral:rRNA from 1 species
UACAGGGGGUGCAAGCGUUGCUCGGAAUUACUGGGCGUAAAGCGUGCGCAGGCGGCUCGUCAAGUCGGGGGUGAAAGCCCGGGGCUCAACCCCGGAAUUGCCUUCGAAACUGGCGGGCUUGAAUGCGGGAGAGGGUCGCGGAAUUCUUGGUGUAGAGGUGAAAUUCGUAGAGAUCAGGAGGAACACCGGUGGCGAAGGCGGGUCUCUGGGCCGGUAACUGACGCUGAGGAGCGAAAGCAUGGGGAGCGAACAGG